UACGGGGGGGGCAAGCGUUGUUCGGAAUUACUGGGCGUAAAGGGCUCGUAGGCGGCCAACUAAGUCGGACGUGAAAUCCCCAGGCUCAACCUGGGAACUGCGUCCGAUACUGGAUGGCUUGAAUCCGGGAGAGGGAUGCAGAAUUCCAGGUGUAGUGGUGAAAUGCGUAGAUAUGCGGAGGAACACCGAUGGCGAAGGCAAUCCCCUGGGCCUGUACUGACGCUCAUGCACGAAAGCGUGGGGAGCAAACAGG
rnacentral:rRNA from 1 species